GGUCCCAGUCUCGAACUGGUGUCACUGGGAGAGCCCCAGUCCCAAACUGGGAGGGUCUGAGGUUCAAACUGGGAGCACUGGGAGGGUCCCAGUCCCAAACUGGGAGGGUCCAAGGCUCAAACUGGGAGCACUGGGAGGGUCCCAGUCCCAAACUGGGAGCACUGGGAAGGUCUCAGUCCCAAACUGGGAGCGUCCCAGUCCCAAACUGGGAGCACUGGAGGGUCCCAAUCCCAGACUGGGAGCACUGGGAGGGUCCCAGUCCCAGACUGGUGUCACUGGGGUGUCACUGGGAGGGUCCCAGUCUCAAACUGGGAGGGUGCCAGGUUCAAACUGGGAGCACUGGGAGGGUUCCAGUCCCAAACUGGGAGGGUCCAAGGUUCAAACUGGGAGAGUCCCAGUCCCAGACUGGUGUCACAGGGGUGUCACUGGUGUCACUGGUCCGUUACUGGUGUCACUGGUGCUGUCCCUGGCUCUGUCCAUGGCUCUGUUACUGGUGUUACUGGUGUCACUGGUGUGUCACUGGUGUUACUGGUGUUACUGGUGUCACUGGUCCGUUACUGGUGUCACUGGUGCUGUCCCUGUCCCUAUCCCUGUCCCUGGUGUCAACUGGUGUCACUGGUGUCACUGGUCCGUUACUGGUGUCACUGGUGCUGUCCCUGCUGUCCCUGUCCCUGGUGUCACUGGUGCCGUUACUGGUGUCACUGAUGUCACUGAUGUUACUGGUGUUACUGGUGUUACUGGUGUCCCUGUCCCUGGCUGUGUCACUGGUGUCACUGGUGUCACUGGUGUCACUGGUGCUGUCCCUGCU
rnacentral:lncRNA from 1 species